rnacentral:rRNA from 1 species
GCCUAUGAGCAUACCACUCUGAGAACACCCAAGCUUGUCUUAUCUCAGAAACUAACCAGGGUUGGGCCUGGUUAGAUGGGAAACUGCCUUGGAAUACCAGGUGCUUUAGGCU